CUCUCCAUCGAUGUGAUCUGCAACGGAAAGGACCUGGGGUAGGAGCGGCUGAUCUGGGGGAGCGCGAAAGGCGAAGGGCACCUGCCCACCCUCACUGCCAAGGAGCGCGUGCCCCCCAGCUUCUCCUCACCAAACCGCAACCCAUGCGACCACUCUAAGUCUUGGGAUCACAUCGCCAAGUUUACAUCCCUAGCCCGGACUUCCCCCGUGAGUCGCCAGUUCCGCCUCUCCACGUGGCCGGACGGUGGCCGUCUCCAGCUCAGCAGGUGCAAGAGGGAGCCUUCGCUGCUUCCCCCAAUCCCGCUCCACACGCAGUCCUCGCCUACCCAAACGGUAGCAACUUGAACCUCGCGCAGACCUUCGAGGUGUCCCCGAAGGCUCUUUCCCUCUCACUGCACACCCACUGGGCUCCUCCUUCGCAGUCUCCAAGAUGGACACCGUCCCCACCUGCACUGCCGGCCCCUGGGUCCACCCCCUGGAGUGACCGUGGAUGCCUUGUCACAGGUGGCCCUGCACCUGGCUUGGCCCCAUGCAAUCUCUUCUUGGCUCGUCUUCAACAGUUACCGAUACCAGUCUCUUCAAAUGACGAUCGGCUGUGCUUCUAAAUCCUUUAACGCACCCAAGACAAACACGCGAGUAACUUUGCCUCCAGCUACCAAACCAGUUGUGGCCCGGGGUGACCGACCUACCUACCCAAGCUUUGCAAUAUGGUGUCACCGAGGCACGCUCAGUGUAUUCAUAGUAAGGUGCUGAAUUUCCUCAUCACUCUCUAUACCUACAAAGAGUCAGACCCUCUUGAGUGCAAACGGAAAUGUGAGACAAUGAGAAUACAAGUCAUUUUAUGUUUCGUUUGCGGUUUGCUAAGUGAAAAUUAGUGUUAAUUUGAAAUGCUGACUUUUUACCCUGACCCAUAUCCAAGAUUCUAAAAGAGUGGGUUCCAGAGUUACAAGAUGGGAUUUCUUUGUGAGACGAGGGAAUAGAAAAGAGCUUUUUCUACUUUUCUACAUUUCUACAUUCUGCCCUGGGGUUACUACCCUGGAAAAGAGUCCCUUGUCCCCUGAAGGUGGGCCUCCCAUGCUCUGUGACCCAGCAACUCCAUUCCCAGGUCCACACCCGAGACAAACGGCCGCCUGUGUGCAAUGGGAGGCGGGCAUGAGACGCGUACACGGCACAUUCACAAAAGCCCAACCUGGCAACACACGGCACGCCCACCAAAAACAACGCAAACAACGCUUACCAAUAUAAUGUUAAAACGAACCCGUAAACCCUGAAGCUUUCCACAAAGCAGGAAAAACCAGGUGGCCGUUUUGUGGGCACGUACUUCCUUAUUGUAAGGCAUUAAGUGCCUGAAUCAAAACGGGCCAAGCGGGCACCAAUGAAGAGAGUACUUCACGAGAUCCAUCUAACACUGGGCUCCGAGAUUCAGUAAAGAAGAAAAGCGAACCGACAGCUAAGGUCCCGGCAGUUCAGGACCUAGAUCGUUUUGAAUAGGAGUCAACGGUGUGACACGACUCCUAAGAAAAAAUACACAAUUCCCCAGGACCACACUAAUGGUUCUGUAACAUCCGGGAUACGGGACUCAGGAUUUAUUCCGAACUGGCUGGCUGCACCUGGAGAAUUCCGAGCACCGAGCUCAACUGGUUGCUACCCUAGACAGGAUCUCCUUCAGACAACUGGGUCUGAAAUACUUGAUUUGGAUGACACCAGGGAGCGCAGACUCCCCAUUAAACAUGUUACGCGUGCUCUAAGCACUUGGCAUUUUUCUGAUUUCAGCAGACGAAAGCUCCUGUUGCUAUAUUUCUUUGUCAAAUUGUUUUUCCUUUCUGUCUCCUUGGAAUAAAAUUCCACUUCAGAAAA